UAGGGAAUAUUGGUAAUCUGGGAAACCGGGAACCAGCAACGCCGCGUGUGCGAUGAAGGCCUUCGGGUUGUAAAGCACUUUUUGAGGGGAUGAGGAAGGACAGUACCCUCAGAAUAAGCCUCGGCUAACUACGUGCCAGCAGCCGCGGUAACACGUAGGAGGCGAGCGUUAUUCGGAUUUACUGGGCGUAAAGCGCGUGCAGGCGGCUCGAUAAGUUGGAUGUGAAAGCUCCUGGCUUAACUGGGAGAGGUCGUUCAAAACUAUCAGACUUGAGAGUGGUAGAGGGAGGUGGAAUUCCUGGUGUAGUGGUGAAAUGCGUAGAUAUCCGGAGGAACACCAGUGGCGAAAGCGGCCUCCUGGCCCAUUUCUGACGCUCAGACACGAAAGCUAAGGUAGCAAACG
rnacentral:rRNA from 1 species